UACGUAGGGCGCAAGCGUUGUCCGGAAUUAUUGGGCGUAAAGAGCUCGUAGGCGGCUUGUCACGUCGGGUGUGAAAGCCCGGGGCUUAACCCCGGGUCUGCAUUCGAUACGGGCUAGCUAGAGUGUGGUAGGGAGGAUCGGAAUUCCUGGUGUAGCGGUGAAAUGCGCAGAUAUCAGGAGGAACACCGAGUGGCGAAGGCGGUCUCUGGGCCGACUACUGACGCUGAGAGCGAAAGCUGGGAGCAACGGAUUAGAACCGUAC
rnacentral:rRNA from 1 species